AUGGUGAGAGCCCUGCAGACU
rnacentral:piRNA from 1 species